AGAGUUUGAUCCUGGCUCAGGAUUAACGCUGGCGGCAUGCCUAAUACAUGCAAGUUGAAUGCCUGUAGCAAUACAGAAACAUGGCGAACGGGUGAGUAAUACAUAAGUAACCUGCCCUGAUGACGGGGAUAACACUUAGAAAUGAGUGCUAAUACCGGAUAAACCUACUAACAAGAGAUUGAUAGAAGGGAAAGGAUCGCAAGAUCGCAUUAGGAUGGGCUUGUGGCGCAUUAGCUAGUUGGUGGGGUAAAGGCCUACCAAGGCAACGAUGCGUAGCCGACCUGAGAGGGUGAACGGCCACACUGGAACUGAGACACGGUCCAGACUCCUACGGGAGGCAGCAGGUAGGGUAAUUUUCGGCAAUGGGCGAAAGCCUGACCGAGCAAUGCCCGCGUGAACGAAGAAGGUCUUCGGAUUGUAAAGUUCUUUUAUAAGGGAAGAAAAAAUAGGAUAGAAUCUUAUAUAUUGACGGUACCUUAAGAAUAAGCCACGGCUAACUACGUGCCAGCCGCAGC
rnacentral:rRNA from 1 species